ensembl:snRNA U2 U2 spliceosomal RNA
AUUUUUUCGAAAGAAAAAUCUGUUCUUAUCAGUGUAAUACCUGAUACGUCCUCCAUUCGAGGACUUUAUAUUAAACGGAUUUUACUAAAGAUUUCCGUGGAGAGGAACGUUGAUGAGUUCAACUUUU